rnacentral:tRNA from 1 species
GGAAAGAUGGCAGAGUGGUUUAUUGCAAUAAAUUACUAAUUUAUCUAUAUAAAAACAUAUAUCAAGGGUUCAAAUCCCUUUCUUUCCA